CCUACGGGAGGCAGCAGUGGGGAAUAUUGCACAAUGGGGGAAACCCUGAUGCAGCGACGCCGCGUGAGUGAAGAAGUAUUUCGGUACGUAAAGCUCUAUCCGCAGGGAAGAAAAAAAGUCCUUUGGACUUUGGACGGUACCUGACCAAGAAGCCCCGGCUAACUACGUGCCAGCAGCAGCGGUAAUACGUAGGGGGCAAGCGUUCUGCGGAUUUACUGGGUGUAAAGGGAGCGUAGACGGCAGCGCAAGUCUGGAGUGAAAUGCCGGGGCCCAACCCCGGAACUGCUUUGGAAACUGUGCAGCUGGAGUGCAGGAGAGGUAAGCGGAAUGCCUAGGGUAGCGGUGAAAUGCGUAGAUAUGAGGAGGAACACCAGUGGCGAAGGCGGCUUACUGGACUGUAACUGACGUUGAGGCUCGAAAGCGUGGGGAGCAAACAGGAUUAGAUACCCUAGUAGUC
rnacentral:rRNA from 1 species